rnacentral:lncRNA from 1 species
AUUAAGACGAGAAUUAAUCUCGGAGUUGCAUCAUAGGAAGUAAGGGUUCGUAGCUCUACACCUUCUUGGUUAGUUGGGGGCCCACGUGUCACUGUAAACGAAAUUUCAUACUUUAAUUAUCUUUAUUACUAUAUGAAUAAAUUUAUUUUACUCUUACGCUACAAAAGUUAUUUUAGGAAGACUUUGAAAAUAUUGUGUUUUAAGAAAAUAGAAUAUUUUAUUUAAUGUUUUUAUUAUAUUCAAAUAGCUAUAAUUUUACUUUAAACGAAUGUUUUAGACUUCAAAAUUUAAUUUAAAUUAUGAAAUAUGUGUUUCCACUUACAUAUUACAUUUUUUCGAAUUUCGAAAUUUCAAAAAAAAAAAUGAUGAAAAUGCCCCAGUGAGCUAGAAAAUAAUAUUUUUAUUGUUUUGAGUUGGAAACAACUUAUGAUUUCUUGAAAUGCGAGAUUUAAUAACUGUCGCUCACCGGGGAGAUGUGGAAGUUGAGUCUAAGCCUUGCGGGGUUUCGAUCGGCAUUCGGGGUAAUGAGUGCUUAUCGGGACGUCGCGACGGUUGUCACGGGCCCGAUGGGAGUUCCGGGUCGUGACAACUGUAAUGGCCGAAUUUUUUCAUGAAGAAAUGAGAGGGUUUUGAUGCUGAAAUUGGUGUUAUUUGCAUAAUGUUUGGUGAAUUGAGGUAUUAGAAAUGAAAUGGAGCAAUUUGGAGCCAAAUCGGACACAAUUGUCAUUUAAUCGGGUAAUAGGCCGAAUUAGGUCAGCACCGCAUUUAAGCGGUAGUCGGAUAAGUUGCAUAUCAUAUCAUGCAUAUACCCCGAGCCUGAAUUGAUUUAUAAUGGUCAAACAUUAAUGUGGUGAAUUAUGUAUUGUACAUUGUGGAUAGGUGGUGAGCAAAUUACAUUGGUAAAAGUACAGAGAUUGUGCUUGAAGACUGAGAUUAGGAGUACAUCGACUCCUAGAACUGUGAGUAAACUUAUUAUCGUCUUAAUUAUCUAGAGUAGUUUUAUACAAUUGUGUGAUUUUAUGGAAAUUGGGUUUAAAUGGUAAAUUACUAUGUUUUAUGAGAAAUUGUGAUUUUAUAAAUUUUCUAAAAAAUUGAAUACUGGUUUUGAAAAUAGAGUAAUUAGAGAUUGCCUACUUGUGUUUUAAAUUAUAUGGCUUAUAGCAAUAUGUGAGCAUGAAUGGCCCAGUCAGUAUUUGUAUCAAAAUUAUAUAUACUAUGUAUUCAACCUUGAGAGGCUAGGUUGCGAUAAAUUGCCAUGUCAUGCAGAUAAAGAUUUUUUAAAUCAGGUGGUAGACAAAAUAAGUCAUAGUCACUACAGUGGUGGGGGUUUCCGUGGACUGCCUAUGAGAGGGGCACGGUAACCCAAUUAUAUAUUUACCUCCGGGGGGAGAUGUUGGAUGAAAUAUCUCCUGAGGUAAAGAUUUGAGUGCACUUCACGUGGACCACCGAGUGAGAGUGAGACUCAGCUAACGCCAAGGAACGGCUGUGUGUCAGAUGUGAAAACAUGUUUAUGGGUAUGAGACAUUUAACUACCUUGGCGGUCUCAGUGGGAUACCUUGACGAAGUUACUCGCGAGAAUGAUUUUGACAGGAGCCAAGUUUUGUGAGAUAUAUAAGCCAUGUUGAUUAAUUGAGUAAACUGAAUAUUCAUGUUAUGAAAUAUCUAUUGGAAAAGAAUAUUUUAAUUCGUCUCCAUUUACUCGCCUUUAGAUAAUUUAGAUGGUGUCUGUUUACUCACUGAGAUUUUAUAAUCUCACCACCCUCAAUUCCCCACAUUUCAGGCUCAGGAUAGCCGGUAGAUAACCAAUUGCAUCAAGGGCUUUAGUUAGCCUUGCAUCGACAAAAUUGUAGGUUCACAAACUCGCACCUUAUUGGUUAGUUGGGAGCCCACAUGUCACUGUAAAAUUAAUUUUAUACUUUAAUUAUUUGCUUUAAAGUAUGUAUGAAUAUAUUUAGCUUU